UGGUGGAGUGAUUUGUCUGGUUAAUUCCGUUAACGAACGAGACCUCGACCUGCUAAAUAGAAGUUCAAAGGUUUUCCUUUGGGCUGACUUCUUAGAGGGACUAUCGGUGUGUAGCCGAUGGAAGUUCGAGGCAAUAACA
rnacentral:rRNA from 1 species